rnacentral:rRNA from 1 species
UACAGAGGGGGCAAGCGUUAUCCGGAAUUAUUGGGCGUAAAGAGCUCGUAGGCGGUUUGUCGCGUCUGCCGUGAAAGUCCGGGGCUCAACUCCGGAUCUGCGGUGGGUACGGGCAGACUAGAGUGAUGUAGGGGAGACUGGAAUUCCUGGUGUAGCGGUGAAAUGCGCAGAUAUCAGGAGGAACACCGAUGGCGAAGGCAGGUCUCUGGGCCACUACUGACGCUGAGAAGCGAAAGCAUGGGGAGCGAACAGG